GGGCCAGACUCCUACGGGAGGCAGCAGUGAGGAAUAUUGGUCAAUGGGCGAGAGCCUGAACCAGCCAAGUCGCGUGAGGGAAGACGGUCCUAUGGAUUGUAAACCUCUUUUGUCGGGGAGCAAAAAGGCCUCGUGAGGCCACAAGUGAGAGUACCCGAAGAAAAAGCAUCGGCUAACUCCGUGCCAGCAGCCGCGGUAAUACGGAGGAUGCGAGCGUUAUUCGGAUUUAUUGGGUUUAAAGGGUGCGUAGGCGGACUGGAAAGUCAGCGGUAAAAUCGAGAGGCUCAACCUCUUUCCGCCGUUGAAACUGGUUUUCUUGAGUGAGCGAGAAGUAUGCGGAAUGCGUGGUGUAGCGGUGAAAUGCAUAGAUAUCACGCAGAACUCCGAUUGCGAAGGCAGCAUACCGGCGCUCAACUGACGCUCAUGCACGAAAGUGUGGGUAUCGAACAGGAUUAGAUACCUUGGUA
rnacentral:rRNA from 1 species